AGUGAACGCUGGCGGUAGGCCUAACACAUGCAAGUCGAACGGCAGCACAGUAAGAGCCUGCUCUUACGGGUGGCGGGUGGCGGACGGGUGAGGAAUACAUCGGAAUCUACUUUUUCGUGGGGGAUAACGUAGGGAAACUUACGCUAAUACCGCAUACGACCUACGGGUGAAAGCAGGGGAUCUUCGGACCUUGCGCGAUUGAAUGAGCCGAUGUCGGAUUAGCUAGUUGGCGGGGUAAAGGCCCACCAAGGCGACGAUCCGUAGCUGGUCUGAGAGGAUGAUCAGCCACACUGGAACUGAGACACGGUCCAGACUCCUACGGGAGGCAGCAGUGGGGAAUAUUGGACAAUGGGCGCAAGCCUGAUCCAGCCAUACCGCGUGGGUGAAGAAGGCCUUCGGGUUGUAAAGCCCUUUUGUUGGGAAAGAAAAGCAGCAGGUUAAUACCCCGCUGUUCUGACGGUACCCAAAGAAUAAGCACCGGCUAACUUCGUG
rnacentral:rRNA from 1 species